AGCGAACGCUGGCGGCAGGCCUAACACAUGCAAGUCGAACGAAGUCUUCGGACUUAGUGGCGGACGGGUGAGUAACACGUGGGAACGUACCUUUUGGUUCGGAACAACUCAGGGAAACUUGAGCUAAUACCGGAUGAGCCCUUAGGGGGAAAGAUUUAUCGCCGAAAGAGCGGCCCGCGUUAGAUUAGCUAGUUGGUGAGGUAAAGGUUAACCAAGGCUACGAUCUAUAGCUGGUCUGAGAGGAUGAUCAGCCACACUGGGACUGAGACACGGCCCAGACUCCUACGGGAGGCAGCAGUGGGGAAUCUUGCGCAAUGGGCGAAAGCCUGACGCAGCCAUGCCGCGUGAAUGAUGAAGGUCUUAGGAUUGUAAAAUUCUUUUACCAGGGACGAUAAUGACGGUACCAGGAGAAAAAGCCCCGGCUAACUUCGUGCCAGCCGCCGCAGUAAAAC
rnacentral:rRNA from 1 species